GACUUCAUUUUCUUUUCUGUUCUUCGUUUAAUAAAAUUUCUCUGAGUUCCAGAGACUUCUCAAACGCUCCUCCUUCUCUCUACUUUCUCUCUCUACAAUCUUCAUGAUUUCUCGGUUUAAUCUCGAUGUUAACAUGGUAUCAGAGCAAGGACGAUGAUCCGACUAUGUUUAUAUGUACUUCGUUGUCUUGGAUGAAGUCUGUUUCGAGAUUUUGGGGGUGUUUUCUGAGACCUCAUGGUCGAUGAAGAUUCCGACCUAUCGGACACCUUUCUGAGUUUUUCAUCGUGAUAUCGAAGUGUGCUUUCUUCACUAGAACGUUCUGGGAGAUAUCUGAUGAUUUUUGGGUGAUUUUUUGGUGACCUGUCGGCUUCUAGGAUUUCUGGAGGUUUAACCUAAAGUUUUACUGCUAUCCGGUGGCUCGAUUCUCACUCAGAGGAUGUUUUGGGUGACUUUCCGACAUUCCUGACCACACUUACAGUAAGAUCUUUGACGGUUGUACCUAGGAUUUUGAACCUAGGGUUUUCUCUGUUUGCUUGAAGGCCGAUCUUCUCCGGUCGCGAAGAAGGAGGGUAACUCUUUCCUUAUCUUGCACAUUCCUGACCAUACAUACAGUAAGAUCUUUGACGGUUGUACCUAGGGUUUCUCUGUUUGCGUGAAGGCCGAUCUUCUCUGGUCACGAAGAAGGAGGGUAACUCUUUCCUUAUCUUGACUAUUGUAUGCAAUCUGUGUGAUUAUCUGGCUCAGUAGGUGAGUAUCUGAUAUUCUGUGUGAAAAUCUGGUUCUGUGUGUGAAUAUUUGGUUUUGUCUGUGAAUAUCUGGUGCGAUUAUGGCUUCCA
rnacentral:lncRNA from 1 species